rnacentral:lncRNA from 1 species
UUGGUGUGGAAGAUGCAGAUGCUAAGAAUGAUGAUGACACCAAGGCAGCAGAACAGGAGGAUGUAAAAAUGGCUGUUGUAGGGGAUACUGAUGCAAAAGAAGAUAAUGACACUGAAGCAACAGAAUGUGAGGAUGUCAAAAUGGGUGUUGUGGAUGAUGCUGAUGCAAAUGAAGACAACAAUGGCAAGGCAGCAGAACAUGAGGAUGUCAAAAUGGGCACUGUGGAGGAUGAAGAUACAAAUGGAGAUAAGGAUGCCAAGGCAGCAGAAAACGAGGAUGUCAAAAUGGCUGCCGUGGAGGACGAAGAUGCAAAUGAAGGUAGUGAUUCCAAGGCAGCAGAACAGGAGGAUGUCAACAUGGGCGGUUUGGAGGAUAAAGAUGCAAAAGAAGAUAACAAUGCCAAGGCAGCAGAAUGCGAGGAUGCUAAGAUGGCUGAGGCUGAGGCAGGAGAUGCAGAGGUCAAAGAUAAAGGACACAAGGAAGAAAAAUAUGCGAACAAGGAACUGAAAGAUGGAGAACAUAGUGGUUCUGAGGGGCAGGAUGGAGGAAAUGAGCAAGUAAAGAAUGAUUCAGCUGAGCAUGACAAAAAGAAGGCAGAAGAAACGAGUGAUAUUAAGCAUGCGGAAGAGGAAGCAGAAGAAAGUGGGUCUGCUGAUAAGAAAGAUGAAGGAGGGGAUGGAAAGGCAAAUGCGGAUGAAGAAAAGCAAGAAAA